rfam:Culex pipiens quinquefasciatus supercont3.534 genomic scaffold, whole genome shotgun sequence.
GGGCCCGUGGUGUUGAGGUAAGCGUGGUUGCCUCUCACCCAGUUGGCUUGGGUUCGAUCCCAGACGGUCCCA